GAGGGGUACAAGUUUGUAGUAAUAGAUGUUAGGUAGAGGAUGAAAACAUAUAAGAAAACAUUGGUCAUGCUGAGAUAAGAGAAAAGAUAAUCACAUAGACAAACAAGUAUGCUAGCUUCACAGGAAUCAAACAGAGUCAUAGUGGAUCACACAAAGAAAAGCAAGAGACAUAUUAGACUAAAGGGAAAGGGAAAUCACAGUGACAUGUUAGUUACAUGGUAAAAAUAGAACCAUAAGUAAAAGCACAAAAGGAAUAACAAGAAUCUUAGCAUGAACUGAAACAUGUUGUUUUG
rnacentral:lncRNA from 1 species